rnacentral:tRNA from 1 species
CAGCGACUAGCUCAGGGGUAGAGCACAGGACUGUUAAUCCUGCUGUCGCGGGUUCGAUUCCCGCUUCGCAAUCCG